CCCAUACUCUCCCACAAGUCUCAACUCAGCAUCCAAUCGCUCCUUCUCAUAGGGACGUCUUGGCUUCUUGAAGGUUUUCCCAUCUGUUCACACAUCGAUUCAUAAUCAAUCAUAAGCUCAAAUAUCACAAGAACCGGUAACCAUCAACAAUUAAUACGUCAUAGAAGAGUACUAUAAUGAGCUUUAAACAAUUCCCGACUUCAUCUGCACACAAAUAUAAUACCGGCUACCAAACAUUCUACUGGCUAAACCUAAAAAAACAGAUGCUCAAUUACCGAUAUUUGGAUCAGAUAGUACAUACAAAAAGCUCUCAAGUUUCCUUCACGUUCUUUGGAUCCAAACAAUAAUAUUACACAACACUGACAAACGAGAUCGAGACGGUAUCAAAGUGAAACAAGUAUCAUAUACAAAGUAUUUUAUUAUUAUUUAACAAAGAGAACAAUUAUGAACAAAAGCACAUACAGUUGCGGUAGAAUGAAACGUGCACCAUCUUUGCGCGCCGCUGGUGCUACCCUCACUCUCUCUCUGCGAUCUUCGAAAAAGCCUAAGCAAAUGGCGUAAAGAGGCCGUGUCUUCUUAUAACGACUGCUAUUAUAUACAUAUAUAUGAUUUUGCAAAACCCUAACCCUAGUUGCUUGAGCUAUUAAUGUCAAUGGGCUUUCGUGAAAAAUCGCUGGCCCAUUUCAUAACAUUUUAAUGCGCCCGUUUGUAAUAUUUAUUUAUUUAUUUAUUUAUUUUAGUGAUAUUAUUAAUAGAUCAUCACGAGCAUGGCUAUUACUUGUAUGUUAUAUAUGUUUAAUUUCCUCCAUAAUCUCAAAAUUAAAUUUAGCGUUUGGAAGGUGAUAUUCAAUAAGAUAAGAUUUUUUUUUUCUUUUCCUUUUUUUCUUUUAACUUUUUGUGCUGGGCUUUUAUUCAUUUCCUUUUUACUCUUAUUUUUAUAUGCUAGAGAUUCAUUACUAUAAUAUGUUACAUGACUUGCACAAGAAAUAACAACCAACAGUUCACACAUUAAGCAUGUAAUGGAAUAUAACCAACAAUUCAUAUUAUUGUCGUUGUCGUUGCAUUAAGCGCACUUAAAUUGAUUUUGGUUCAACAAUUCAUGUGUUUUGAGGAUCAAUAAUUGUUAUUUUUCAAAAUAACAACUGGGUUUCUGAUUUGCUAAUACUUUCCAAGAAAGGACACAAUUUGUCCAUUUAUAUCAAAUAGGUCUAUAUCCCUAAUGAAAUGAGUGGAAUACCCUUUCAUUCUUCAAAGUUAUAGCUACAUUCUAAGGGUACCUUUGAUCAGCUUAUGAGAAUAGAUCUACAAGUUUCAUGCAUCAAAUAAGUGGGGAUAACAAGCUAUAUAUGUACAAAAAGAAUUAUAUGAAAGAGCUCAAAUAAUACAGGUUCAAUAGAUGUGAACACAUAAUUUUUUUUUUAAUACAUGAAAGUAUUCUUUACUAUCUUAAGUGUAUUUUUUUCUUCUUGAUUGUCAAUAUGUUUAACGAUAAUAGAUAUUUAUGUUUGUUUUCCUACGUUGAAUGUAUCAUGACAAUAUACCAUUGUAAUGUUAUGUUUUUUCAAUGGGACUUAUGUUUAGGUUAAAAAAAAAUGUUGUAUCACAUUUCACUAUUUCAUUAUUCAUGUAAUACAUUAGGACUUUUCCAAAUAUCAAAUCUGGUAGUGUUUAAAUUGAGAUGCCAAUAAAAAGGGAACCAACAAGCAAAGGCGAUUAUAAAGCCCGUAUGUAUAUCUAACUUUAGCUCACCAUAGAUCUCAUAAGGCCUACAAGAUACCUUCACACCAAAUUGAAGGAGAGAAAACUUAAUUAAAAAGAAAUCCCCCACCCAUCUAAGUUUACUUACCGCCAAACAUACAUAAAGACUUUGGAAAAUUCAUAUGACUUAGCCCAAAAAAUGGAUGCAUUGCACGGUGUGAUUAUGAAGAAAUAGAUCAUUUUCGCCACAAUAAUUAGGCAAAGCCAGUAAUUGUGAAGCUGACAUUCCAUGACAUCUUACACUACUGAUGUCAAGAGGAUCAUGACUGACUUUAAGCCUUAAUUUUCUCGAUUGAUUGGACAUUCGAUCAGAUCAGUAUUUUUAUAGGCAGAUUGAUAAAAGGCAGUGAACAUGUUGAGAUAAGCUUACAACAUUCAGAAGCAGCCCCGUGUUUUCAAUGUAAUUUUUAGGUACGGUCUUUAAGGAAAUAAUGAAUGGCCGACUGGGGGCUGCUAUGGUGCAUUGCAAGGAAGAAUGCCUUUUUCACCAUUAAGGUUUGAUGUAAUAAUUUAUCUGAUUUUUAUUUUUUAAAUAAUAUUUUAAAAAUGCCUUUCGUUAAUUAACUGUUAGUAUGGAUACUUUUUUAAAAAAUUUUUUAGUUUAUUUCUAACCUUAAUGUGAAUAGUGAUACUUGAUUGAAAUAUUAUUGUUAUUAUUUGUUCAAAAAUUUAUUUGACUUCAUUGAAAAAACACACAUACCCAUAUAUAUUGCACACACUCACACACAAAUGUUGCAUAUUCUUUAGUGUUAUUUUUGUUUCAUUAAAUUAUUCUUAAACUAAUUUUAGAUCUAUGUAUAAAGUUAGAUUUUAUUUAAUUACCUUUUAUAUUUUUAUUUUAAAAUAAUUUGAAUUUAUUCAAUCUUAUUUUACGUUUAAUGAAUUAUAAAUUAAAUUAACUAUAAAUUCACAAAAGGAUAUGUUGAAUUAUUGUUUGAAUAAUAGAAAAGAAAUGAACUAUUUUAUCAUACCCGAGGGUAAAACGGACUUUCUCCUACAUUAUAAUUUUAUAAUGUAUUAUAUAUUAUCCUAAGAGUAGCAUUUAAAAAGUUGAAUCAAUAAAACUAUUUUUAAAGUUAUAAAAAUAACUUUUAGGCUUUAAGUUUUGUGCAUCAUACCAAGCCCUAAUAUAAUAAAAGCGAGUCUUCUGCCGCCCCCACAUUUGUUGAAUACGGAAGCAACCUCAAGUUCUAACAGAACAAGGUUAUGUUUGGGAGUAAGAUGCUGUAACUUUUAACCUGCAGUUGAUGUGGAGUAACAAUUAUAACUGUGGAAUAAGUUGGGAAAAAAAAAUUGCUAAGCUGCUAAAGCCCAACUACAAGUAUUACCAAACACUUUUAAAGUCUAUCAACCUCACCACACUCCAAAACAGACUACAAGUUGGAUCAAAUAUUUGACAAAAUUUAAAAUAAUGAGCGGGGAGCUUCUAACACUCCUUUAAAAUUCUUAUAAAGAGCAAAAAAUUUUCUUAGGUAAAAUUACAAAAAAGAGCAAAAAAUUACAAUAGAAAUUUAGUUAAUCUUACUAUCAUUUAGAAUAAAUUAAACAAUAGUAAACAUACUGUUUCAUGAUAAAAAAUUUUAUUAUUAAGUAAUUUAUUUCUUAAUUAUUCAAAAUUUUUAUAUAAAGUAAUUAUAUCAUAUAUUAAGUUAUAUUAAGUUCUAGUUCAAUUAAAUUUAUAUUUAUGCUUUGACAUAAUUUUACAAACUGAGAUUUUAAAAGAAUACUAAUAAUGUGUUUAUUUGAGGGUUUAGGGAAUGAGAAUAUAACUCAUGUUUACUUGAUAAAAUGUAAUUUGUGAAUGUGAAUAAAAUAUAUGGGUCCCAUAUAAUUUGAGAUUAUUGGGAAUGAAAAUGAGGGAAUGAGAAUGAAAUAUAUGUUUACUUUUGUAUCCCUCUAAUUUUUUCAUAUUUUCCAAAUUACCCUUAUUCAAAUCACAAUUAAUUUUAUUAUUUUAAAUGUCAUUAAUAAUAAUAAUAUUAAUUAUUAUUAAUUAUUGUUAUUAUUAUUUUAAUAAUAUUAUCAUUAUUAACAAUAAAAAUAAUGAUAAAAAUAAUUAAUUUAUCAUUAUUAACAAUAUUAUUAUUAUUUUAAAAAAUAAUAAUAACAAUAAUUAAUAAUAACUAAAACAAUAAAGUUAAUAAAAUUUAAUAAUAAUAAUGUAAUUUUCAUUAUUUAGAUACAUGUAUAAAUAUUAUUAUAAAAUAUAAUUAAUUAAAAAAAUAAAAUUAAUAAUAAUAAUAAAUAAUGUUAAUAAUGAUAAUAUUAAUAAAAUUAAUAAUAACAAUAAUUAAUAAUAACAAAAAUAAUAAAGUUAAUAAAAUUUAAUAAUAAUAAUAAGAAAUGUUAAUAAUGAUAAUAUUAAUAAAAUUAAUAAUAACAAUAAUUAAUAAUAACUAAAAUAAUAAAGUUAAUAAAAUUUAAUAACAAUAAUAAUAAUAAAAAUAAUAAAAAUAAUAAUGAUAAUAUUAACAUUAAAUUUUAUUAACUUUAUUAUUUUAGUUAUUAUUAAUUAUUGUUAAUAAUAAUAAUAACAAUAAUAAUAUUAUUAAUAAUGAUAAAUUAAUUAUUAAUACUAUAAAUAUUUUAAUAAAUUAAUUUUCAUUAUCACCUCGUUCCCAUUUAUUUUGCUAAAUAAACACAUCAUUCCAAAACAUUCUCAUUCUCAUUUAUUUUUGUCAAAUAAACAUUAAAAUUUCAUCUCUAAUCCAGCUCAUUCUCAUUCUAAUUUUCAUUCUCAUUUAUUUUUAUCAAAUAAACAUUAAAAUUUCUUUCUCAUUCCAACCUAUUCUCAUUCUAAUUUCCAUUGAUUAUGCUACUAAUUUCCAUUGAUUAUGCUACGCUUUUCACACGUGUGCGCGAGGACCGUCAACGAUUCUAAUCUUGUGUGAAAAAGCCCAAGCACAAGCCCAAUGAGAGAGCUAAUGACAAACCCAUCUAAAGCCCAAGCCCAAGCUUAUUCUUGAUAGAUGAAACUCUCCAGGAGCACAAAUUUUUUGACACACAUCACAUCUAUAACAAAAGCACGCUUCAAUCGCAUCGGUAUGCCAUUGCAGUAGCGACAAUUUUCCAUUAAAUCUAAUAUAUAUAUAUGCGCACAAAAAAGCUAACUACACGGAGAUUUAAUUUAGGCAUAAAAAAGCUUAAGGAUCAAAGAGUACAUCCCAAAAAACAAAAACAAUUCUCUCAAUGAGUAGUCUGUAAAGCACAAAGCAAGCAAAACCUCCUAUUAUAGCAAGAAAAUUAGCAAAAACAUAAAACUUAAGAGAAGAUAAGUCGAUUUGCAAAGUUCAGCCAGAGUUCCUACUGUAACCAUAAAAAAACUAUCUGCUCACACAAGGUAAUUUAUUCUUCAUCCUCUUCAUCUCCAUCUCCACCUGCGGCCUUCUUGGCAGCAGCCUUAAUGUUCCUUCUCUUCACUCUUCCGGGGCGCCCGCCUCCAAAUGGACUUGUGAGUGAGAAUUCAAUGUGCUUCUGGGAAUCAACCCUCACUACAAAUGAGGGAAUGUUGACAAGCUGCCUUCCAACCCUGAUAAUCAGAAAUAUAGAUAUUCCUUAAUAUACAAAAUAACCACGCUUAAAGACCUCAAAACAAUCUUACUAAAACAUUAAGGUUAGAACAUCAAAGCAACCCAGCUCGAAUAAACCUUCUAAAACAAGAACAACGUAUCAUUACUUCAUACAUUCAAAGAGAAACAGUCGACUCAAAGGGACAGGGCAUAGCAACGUUAAAGUAAUCAAAUAGAUAAAAAAGCACAACACAUUUUAUGAAAAAAAACCAAAAGCAGUCCUGAUGUUAGCUGUGACAGAAUUUGAAUACACCGAUUAACAGAGCCAAAAGCAUUUGCUGGGUAGUGCAUGCAGGGCAUAUUAAUGCCCCAAGAAUACAAAGGUAAACUCAAGUACAAUCAAACUUGCUAAACAUUAUAAUAUCCAAAAGAUCGUCCACAAUACUGGUAAACCAUACAUGCUAGAAUCAUUACAUAUAUUAUGACACUACAAUUAUCAAUUAGUGGGCAAGUUUCAAAUAUUAUAAUUAUAACCUGAACGUGUAUAAAAACACAAUUCACAAACUCAAGAUAAUUUUACAAAAUUUAAAGCCAAAAGCAAAUGUCAGCUAAACAACCCAAAGGCAAGUAGAAAAUAAUCAAAUAAUUAAAGAUCAGUAAGUAAUGGUUAAAACCAACAAACUCAGUAAUAGACAUCGAGAUGGAACAAGCAAUUUAAAUUCAUGUUGGUCAAAUGUUAGAAUAAUAGAAAAGAAACAAAUGUGAAAAAGCAUUUGAAGAUUUUACAGACACUGAAAAAAGCAGAUAUGAACUAAAAGGAAACACAGUGCAUAAAUUAUACCUAAUGUGCCUCUGCCUGAUGAGCACUCGAGCAUGGUGAAUUGACUUAGCCAUGCCACUCUUGAACACAAGGGUCUGAAGACGACGCUCAAGAAAGUUCUCCACAGUGAGGGCCAACACAUAAUCAAGCUUGUUCUGGCUCUCUUCCAAGAAGCCAUACCUGUGCAUCCUCCUGAAGAAGGGCCUCUACUAUCAAAACUAACUUCUAGUUUUCUUCUCACCGAGAUUGACAAGAUCCCUCGCAGCAUUUCGGAUGCGGCUCAGUGCGUAUUGAACCCUCCAGAGUUCCCUCUUGCAGCGAAGCCCAUACUCUCCCACAAGUCUCAACUCAGCAUCCAAUCGCUCCUUCUCAUAGGGACGUCUUGGCUUCUUGAAGGUUUUCCCAUCUGUUCACACAUCGAUUCAUACUCAAUCAUAAGCUCAAAUAUCACAAGAACCGGUAACCAUCAACAAUUAAUACGUCAUAGAAGAGUACUAUAAUGAGCUUUAAACAAUUCCCGACUCCAUCUGCACACAAAUAUAAUACCGGCUACCAAACAUUCUACUGGCUAAACCUAAAAAAAACAGAUGCUCAGUUACCGAUAUUUGGAUCAGAUAACACAUAUAAAAAGGUCGCAAGUUUCCUACACUUUCUUUGGAUUCAAACAAUAAUAUUAUACAACACCAACAAACGAGAUCGAGACGGCAUCAAAGUGAAAAAAGUAUCAUAUACAAAGUAUUUCAUUAUUAUUUAAAAAAGAGAACAAUAAUGAUCAAACAAAGAUGAAGCAUUUGUAGAAACAGAAGCACAUACAGUUGCGGUAGAAUGAAACGUGCA
rnacentral:lncRNA from 1 species